GGCGGGGGGGGAGAAGCCGGUAUGCAGCCAACCAACUGGGUCAGCGAAGCCGCAGGCGCCGCGGCCCCUUCCCGGCGCGGCUCACGAUUUGAAGAAUAAUUGUUUCAAAGCACAAAAUACAAGUAUAAAUCGAAGGACUGAAUACUGGAGUUUUGUGGGGAGUUCCAUCAAAGCACGCAUCCACAUCCCGCAGGGAGACUAACGGCGGCGCCACACAGAGACCCCCGCGUGGUCAUCAGACUCCACCCCCUUUCCUUCCCGGACGCGCAGCUUUUGCACAUUUCCCAGAUUCUCUUAUCGGGGUCAUGUGACUGAGGUCUGGCCAAUGAAAACUGUGCACACCACUUGCAAGCUUGGCCCCUAAAAAUCAUCUUGCACAGAUAUUGCAGUACAUUAUAAUGCUAUGGUAUUCAAAACCGGAACGGUGAUGAUGCUGCAACAGACAGAUCAAUGGAUUGAAGUCGAAGACCCAGAGGCAUAUUCGAGUAUAUAUAAAUGUCACUGUUCUGUAAACUCUAUGUAUACAAAAACAUAUAUAUGUAUGUGUAGGUUUCUGAGCCUUCUGAGUGAACAUCUCUUGUUCCCUAUAUUCCCUUUUUAUUCCCUUUUCUACAUAUAUAUUUUAAAACCAUAGUGCUAUAACAAAGCCUCCAAAAAGGCUCCCAAUGUUCCCCACCUCCCAGUUCACACCCUGGGCUCUUGGAUCACUUGCUCUGGGGAAGGGGGCUGUAGCAGGAGAGGAUGCUGCGAGCAGCAGCUGGAGAAGCCCACGUGACUAGGAACCGAGAACCCCAGCUGACAGCCAGCAAGUCAGUGAGGGCUGCCAAGAACAUGUGAGUGAGCUGAGAAGUGGAUCUUCCCGCAGCUGAGCCCUCAGAGGACUGCAGUUCAAGUGACAGCUGACCCAGAACCGCUCAAUUCUGCCACUCCCAGAGUCCUAACUCUCAGAAACCCUGUGAGAUAAUGUGUUUGUUGGUUUUAGCUGCUCUGCUAAGUGUUGGGGUAAGUCAUUACACAAUAGAUAAUUGAAACACAUGGCAUAUAAAUAAAAUCAAUCAGACCAAUGCGGGUCAAUGAUUAGUGAGUUAGAUGCUUUGACAGAUUUUGACACUUCUGUUUCAUCUUAAUUGUUUGCCUCAAAAGUAAUCCCUAAGGGCAAAACAUGUUAAGAGCGGUUCCCAACAGGAUGUUAGAAAAAUUAACAACUAGCUUUGGGAACUAAAGUGUAACCACAGCAUUAUUUUCCAUUUUAUUAAACUCAUUAAAUGGUAUUGCCGUAUAUUUGUUUCUAUUAAAAAACACGAUAUUAGACUCUGGGAGAAAACCUCUUACAAAUUAGUCUGAAAUUAUCAUUUCUUCCUAGUGAUGUAUAAGAAUAUAAUAAUUGCGGGCGCCUGGGUGGCUCAGAUGGUUAAGCGUCUGCCUUCGGCUCAGGUCAUGAUCUCGGGGUCCUGGGAUCAAGUCCCGCAUUGGGCUCCCUGCUCCUUGGGAGCCUGCUUCUCCCUCUGCCUCUCUCUCUCUGUCUCUAAUGAAUAAAUAAAUAAAAUCUUUAAAAAAAAAAAAGAAUAUAAUAAUUGCUUAGCAGAAGUUCCUAAGAGAUGGACUGACUUUAACAUAUAUUUGAGCAUAAUAUUUUGACAAACAAGUUCCUUUGCAGUAUUUGAAGAUGGUUUUUUUCCUGUGCACCUCCUCCUUUAUGUUACUAAGACGGUUUGCAAUCUCUGUCAUUAUUCUUGGUAGAAGAUCAAACUUCAGUAGAAUACCUAUGUGAAUUCUAACAAUUUCUGAACUAGUGAAGCCCCACAAAAUGAAGAUUUAUCAUGUGUAAGGGAACCAGAAAAGCUAAAAUCCCAAGAUGAGUCAAGGCAAUAGUUCCAGGCAACUCGUGUCCCUGCCAGGAUCCUGCCACAAGCUUUCUCCAUGCUCCACUAAGGUUGGAAUUCAGCUUUUGGUACUAACUUGUCUCAAUCUUGGCCACAGUGGUAAUUUCAUUUUCCUACUUGUUUUCCCUCAACUAGAAUGACUAGGGGCAAUUGAUUUUUCCAUGUAGAAAAAGGGGCAAAUUGGAUCCCUACUUCACAAUUAAAAAAAAAAAAAGAUCUCCCCAUGAAUCAAGGGCUUACAUACGAAAGGCAGAACUUUAAGAAUUUCAAGAGCAAAUGUAAAAAUGAUCUUUAUGACCUUGGAAGAAUUUCUUCAUCAAAACAAAAAAUUCCAAAUCACAAAGGAAAAGAUUAGAAAAUUUACAUCAUGAACUGUUCUCUUCUCUCUCUUAUUUACUUUUAAAUAUUAUAUUACUCACAAGAAUUUUUAGGGGGACUGAUAUGAUUUAAUACGUUUCAUUAGUUUUGCAAUUUGGGUAUAAAACUUAGUAAUACAGAGUCAGAUCCAAAAUCAGUUUGCUCCAAGAUCAAUUUGCGUGUGUGUGUGUGUGUGUGUGUGUGUGAGAGAGAGAGA